rnacentral:rRNA from 1 species
CCCUUAGAUGUUCUGGGCCGCACGCGCGCUACACUGACGAUGGCAACGAGUUUUUCCUUCGCCGAAAGGUGUGGGUAAUCUUUUGAAACAUCGUCGUGCUGGGGAUAGAUCAUUGCAAUUUUUGAUCUUGAACGAGGAAUUCCUAGUAAGCGCGAGUCAUCAGCUCGCGUUGAUUACGUCCCUGCCCUUUGUACACACCACCCGUCGCUACUACCGAUUGAAUGGUUUAGUGAGGACUCCUGAUUGGCGCCGCCGCCCCGGCAACGGAGCAGCGGACUGCCGAAAAGUUGUUCAAACUUGAUCAUUUAGAGGAAGUAAAAGUCGUAACA